UACGUAGGGUGCGAGCGUUUGUCCGGAAUUAUUGGGCGUAAAGGGCUCGUAGGCGGUUUGUCGCGUCGGGAGUGAAAACCCAGGGCUUAACUCUGGGCUUGCUUUCGAUACGGGCAGACUAGAGGUAUGCAGGGGAGAACGGAAUUCCUGGUGUAGCGGUGAAAUGCGCAGAAUAUCAGGAGGAACACCGGUGGCGAAGGGCGGGAUUCU
rnacentral:rRNA from 1 species